AAGAUUAAAACUCAAAUGAAUUGACGGGGGCCCGCACAAGCGGUGGAGCAUGUGGUUUAAUUCGAUGCAACGCGAAGAACCUUACCUACUCUUGACAUCCAGAGAAUCUAGCGGAGACGCUGGAGUGCCUUCGGGAGCUCUGAGACAGGUGCUGCAUGGCUGUCGUCAGCUCGUGUUGUGAAAUGUUGGGUUAAGUCCCGCAACGAGCGCAACCCUUAUCCUUGUUUGCC
rnacentral:rRNA from 1 species